UGGCUGCGGUAACCUGACCGUGCAAAGGUAGCAUAAUAAUUAGUUUUUUAAUUGGAAGCUGGUAUGAAAGGUCGGAUGAGGGAAUUACUGUCUCUAUUUAAAUUAGUUAAAAAUUUAUCUUUAAGUAAAAAAGCUUAAAUUUUUAUGGUAGACGAGAAGACCCUAUAGAGUUUUAUUUACUUUUUUGAGAAUUUUUAUUAAGGAUUAAUGAAAUUUUUUUAAAAAAUUUAAUUUGGUUGGGGUGAUUGAAAAAUUUAAUAAACUUUUUUUUUAUAUGAACAUUGAUUUAUGAAUAUUUGAUCCUUUUUUUAAAGAUUAUAAGAUUAAAUUACCUUAGGGAUAACAGCGUAAUCUUUUUAAAGAGUUCAAAUCGAAAAAAGGGGUUGCGACCUCGAUGUUGGAUUAAAAUUUAUUUUUGGUGUAGGAGCUAAA
rnacentral:rRNA from 1 species